rnacentral:rRNA from 1 species
CCUACGGGAGGCAGCAGUGAGGAAUAUUGGUCAAUGGCCGGAAGGCUGAACCAGCCAAGCCGCGUGAAGGACGAAGGUGCCAAGCAUUGUAAACUUCUUUUGUCAAGGGACAAAAUCAGGCUCGAGAGCCUGACCGAGGGUACUUGAAGAAAAAGCAUCGGCUAACUCCGUGCCAGCAGCCGCGGUAAUACGGAGGAUGCGAGCGUUAUCCGGAUUUAUUGGGUUUAAAGGGUGCGUAGGCGGACUGUUAAGUCAGCGGUAAAAGGCCGGGGCUCAACCCCGGCGAGCCGUUGAAACUGGAAGACGGGAGUUGGCGAGAAGGGUGCGGAAUGCGCGGUGGAGCGGGGGAAUGCAGAG